ACUUAUCGGUUUGUUUGUGUUAC
rnacentral:rRNA from 1 species